AUUUGGUCCAUGCUUGGUCACUCAGCCAGGCCUGUUCAUUCGUCCUGACCCAUGCUCUAAGUCCCCAGUCCACUGCGUUCCUGCUAUGGCUACCCUAAACCAGCCCUCAGAAUCUUUCUGGAACUACCAGAGAAGAAGGCUUAAAGGCCAUCCACUCCCCUGCUGUAUACAUAACAUCAAGGCCCUGGAUGGUGUAGUGUCUGAGCUAACUAGUGCCCAGAGGCCCUCAGUGCUGACCUCUCACCCUUCUGAACACACUGCAUUUCUACCCUGUUCUACUCACUGGAGUUGGCCAACACCAGGGGUUUCUGGCAGGCAGCUCAAUAGACUACCUGCCUCCACCCACCACCAGAAGUCUCCGGAGACAGCGCAUGCCGUAAUGCAACAAUCUCAGUGGGGACCAUUUGUUUUUCUGGCAACCUAUAGAUGCCAGGAAGUCUCUGUCUUAACCUGGACUCAGAAAUCCUAACCCACCAGACCAAUUCUAGAAUAGCAAGUCACGUGACUGCUGAGUAAUUAAUGUGUUCACAGCUUUGGAGAGGAAUAAGAAGAACCUUCACCUGGCAUUGGAUGGAGAAAAUGACAGAGCCUCACAUAGGA